CUCUCCUCUGCCCCCUCCCACCCACCGCGGUGGCGCUCUCCUUCUCCGCCGCCACCGCUGGUCGCCUCGCUGUACUCGUCUCCAUCGCCACCACAUCAGAUCGCAGGGAAGAAGAGCUGCAGCCACGAAUAAACGACAAUCUGAGGCAGUUGGUCGUGGGAGUGUGAGGAUCUUAUCUUAUCACUUCAGCGGCAUGUCGUCAAGAUCUACUAGGCUGGUGAUGCUGUAUCAUGUGUAUGCAGUAGGCUGGUGAGGUGGCCGGCCGGCAGUGUGCGUUUUGUUUUAUCCUGAUCCAUCGAACCAGCUCCUACUACUAACUGCUGGUGGCUUGGCUUGAAAUAUUAGUGCAUUUGAGUGCUCAGUGGAAGCAAUGAAUGGUAUAAAACUGAAGCAAUCAGUGUGCUUGGUGGGAACCAAUGCAUGAUCUCAGAGAAGUGAAGUUUUACAUAUUUGUGAUGAAUCAACAUGGCAGUUGACUAUUAAUGGCGCUACAAGUCCUUUUGAUUCUUUGCAGUUGUGUUAUUUAUAUGCAUGCAAGUACCUGAUAUGGUUGGAUGAUACAAAUCUGUUAGAUGCAUUAUGCCUUGAUAGCCGUUUAUCUUUGUUUUUUAAUUUAUGGGUGUACGGCAAACCACAUGUUCUACAUUCUGUAACCGUGGUAGACGUUGCCAGAGAAGAUACACAAGUUACCUAAUUUUU